rfam:Azoarcus aromaticum EbN1 complete genome
GAGGGUAGGUCCCUCGGAGUCGGCUUUCAGGAGCGGGCUUCAAACCACCCCAAGCUGCUGCGGUCAAGAGCCGUCGGUGGUGAGCGUUGGGGUCAAAGCGUCGGGGACGUACCCCGAGCAGGU